rnacentral:precursor_RNA from 1 species
CACUCCUCCCCUGUGUGCCAGGUCCUGGGCUAGAAGCUGGCACAGGGGGGUGGGGAGCG